rnacentral:lncRNA from 1 species
AGAAAUUCACAAAAUGUCUAAAAUAGUGAUUCAAAAUUUGAAAUUUGAAUUCCCAUAGAGGAAUUCUUUUUUAAUACCAUUUUUUUCAGGACAUUAAUGGCAAAUUUGAAAAAAAAUAUUGUUAUAUCGAUUUAGGGGACUGGUUUUUCUAAUUUAUGAAUUCACGAUUUUAGGGUGAUGGAAAUGGAAGAUCAGGUAGACUAGUGGAG